UACGUAGGUGUCGAGCGUUGUCCGGAAUUAUUGGGCGUAAAGCGCACGUAGGUGGUCUGUUAUGUCAGAUGUGAAAGCCCUCGGCUUAACUGAGGAAGUGCACCUGAAACUGGCAGGCUUGAGUACGAAAGAGGGUCGCGGAAUUCCCGGUGUAGAGGUGAAAUGCGUAGAUACUGGGAGGAACACCAGUGGCGAAGGCGGCUACCUGGACCGGUUCUGACGCUGAGGCGCGAAAGCGUGGGUAGCAAACAGG
rnacentral:rRNA from 1 species